GACAGAGGUGCCGAGCGUUAGGCGGAAUCACUGGGCUUAAAGCGUGUGUAGGCGGGUCGUUAAGUGCCUUGUGAAAUCCCACAGCUCACCUGUGGAACUGCUUGGCAUACUGGCGAUCUUGAGCCACUUAGGGGCAACCGGAACAAACGGUGGAGCGGUGAAAUGCGUAGAUAUCGUUUGGAACGCCAAUGGUGAAAACAGGUUGCUGGGAGUGUGCUGACGCUGAGCCACGACGGCGUGGGGAGCAAACGGGG
rnacentral:rRNA from 1 species